UGUACUUAUUAGUUACUGGUGCGAGUAAUUUUUUCAAUUUGCUUGAGAGAUUCCAGUAGGUAUACUCAGUGGCAAAGAAAGUUGUUCUGGUGAAGUGUAAUUGUGACUUGCGGAGUUAAAAUUUUUAAUAUCAAAUAUUCUUUAAUUAAUACUUAUAUUUUCUUUGUCGAAAAAAUAAUCAAAGAAAUUCAACCGAUAAUGUUUUUCAAUAAUAUGACGAUUUUUGGUAUUGUAGGAUUGUUGUUUGUUGUCACGUUGACCUUGGUUGUGGCGAUGGAACAGUCAAAUGAUGAUAUACCUGCAGCUGAGUUGAUCACCCACCCAGUGAAUCCUCGAUUCAAAAGGGAUGCUAAUGAGAGUACCGAGCCUCUUGCGCGAAGAAAUGCUGUUAGUUUAAAUACCGCUUGUACAAAUUCCGGAGAACUUCACUUGGGUGUGAUUUUGACCACAGCUUGGGUGAUGUAUCGUGCUAUGGUUUAGAAAAAUGCAUAGCUCUAUCUUGAAGCGAGAAUAAACGCAGCGAUAAUUUAGAAAUUUUACGUAGAAUUCAAGUUUAUAGGUCUCACAUAACUUAUCGUUCAUGUUCUUUGGUAAAGCUUUAAACAAAUUUUUUUUAAUAUAUUUUUAUUGACAGGUUUUGUUUUGUUUUGUUUUGUUUUGUGGUUUUUUUAUAAGUUGAUCGUACAUACAAUGUAUUAAAAUUGAUACGUGCUUUUUCUCUUCAUAUUAUUUCAAAAACUUCUAUCAUUUUAAGCCCAAAAUCAGGUCAUAAUUUUUUGAAUUUUUGUCAUUUUUGGAAUUUUUGAAAAAGUGUCAUGUGACCUAUCAAAAUGGGUUAAAAUUUCGCGAGAAAUUCGAAUAUUUCGACGAAAAUGUUUUUUGGACAUUUUUAAAGAAUUUUGAGGUAGGUUGAUGAAUUUUGAGAUUUUUCAAAACAUGUCGUGUGACCUAUCAAAAUGGAUUGAAAUUUCGCGAGGAAAUCGAAUAUUUCGACGAAAAUGUUUUUUGAGCAUUUUUGAAGAAUUUUGAGCCCAAAAUAGAUAGGUUGAUGAAUUUUGGGAUUUGUCAAAACAUGUCAUGUGACCUAUCAAAAUGAGUUGAAAUUUUGCGAGGAAAUCGAAUAUUUUGACGGAUAUGUUUUUUGAGCAUUUUUGAAGAAUUUUGAGCCCAAAAUAGUUAGGUUGAUGAAUUUUGGCUUUUUUCAAAACAUGUCAUGUGACCUAUCUAAAUGAGUUGAAAUUUCGUGAGGAAAUCGAAUAUUUCGACGGAAAUGUCUUUUGAGCAUUUUUGAAGAAUUUUGAGUCUAAAAUAGUUAGGUUGAUGAAUUUUGGGAUUUUUCAAAACAUGUCAUGUGACCUAUCAAAAUGUAUUAAAACUUUGCGAGGAAUUCAAAUACUUCGAUAAAAAUGUUUCUUAGGCAUUUUUGAAGAAUUUUGAGCCCAAAAUAGGUUGAUGAAUUUUGGAAUUUUUGAAAACAUGUCAUGUGACCUAUCAAAAUGAGUUGAAAUUUCGCGAGGAAAUCGAAUACUUUGACGAAAACAUUUUUUGAAUAUUUUUGAAGAAUUUUGAGCUCAAAAUAGGAUGAUGACUUUUGGUAUUUUUCAAGAUAUGUCAUGCGACCUAUCAAGAUGGGUUAGAAUUUCGAGAAAAAUUCCAAUAUUUACUUGAACGAAAAUAUUUUUUGAGCAUUUUUUUAAAAAAUAUCUAAACCCCAAGUUGGCUCGUGAUUUUUGACAUUUUUGAAAAAAUGUUUUACGCGAUUUUUCAAGAAAAUUGAGUUGAAAUUUCCAGCAAAUUUUCCUAAGCACUCAAGAAUCAUUUUUAUGGCAAAAUUUGGUCAUGAUUUUUGGCAUGUAACCCAUCGAAAUGCGUUAAAAUUUUGUAAUAAAUUCGAAUAUUUUCACAGGAUCUAUUUUGAGUGUUUGCGUUUGCCAAAAAUGGAGUGGAUUUUUAUUGGGUGAUUGUUAAAUAACUUUUUUUUUAGCAUUUCUGAAGAAUUUCGAGCCUAAAAUUACUCACGAUUUUCAAAGCCAAAAUUUUGUCUAAAAAUUGAAAAUUUCUAAUAAAUCUUUUUUAAAAUUCAUUUUUGAAGAAAAAAAUGCAGGUACUCGUAGCUUACCUAGAAGGUUCGUUCAUCUUGAAAAUUACUCGUAUAUCACAACUCUAUCCGAAAAAUUAAGCUAAUUUGGUGUCAAAAUUGUUGAAAAUUUUAAUCGAGUUGCGUUGGUGAAUUUUAUUUUUACGAAUUGAUCGUAUUGAUAAUGAAUGAAUCAUUCGUCUUUACUUUUCUUUGUUCUAAUUAACCUAUUCUUAUCGGUACGUAGGUAAGUACCUAAUUUGUUCAUAAUCUUCUUAGCUAAUUGCAAAAUAAAAUUGUCAUGACCUAUGGACUUCUUAAAAUCAAAUAGUUCGCAGAAACAACAAAUUGAUCCACCGAUAACCUUACUGUACAUAAUGGCAAUUUAGGUACGGAAAUUUUUUUAUGUGUUUGAAAUCUCAAUUAAUGUUCGGUGGUCUAUCAAGUUGUUUUACUGAAGUACCUAUACUGUUGGAAACUUUUCAUAAGGAAUAUUUUUACUCAAAAACUGAUCCGUAUUUUGAACGUUUGUGAAAAAAACCGAAUCGAGAAUGUUUUUCAAUAUGAAGAUUUUUGUGUUACUCUUUGUCGUUUUGCUGGCUUUCGUGGUGGCUCAAGAGCCAGAGCAGUCGAACAAUACCAAAAGUGGAUCCAUAAUAGCUAGUGCUGGUACUACGUGGUGCAAUUCUAAAGAAUUCAACUUCGGUGUGAUUUUAACCACAGCUUGGAUAAUGUAUCGUGCAUUUGUGUAAACAUACUUUCGCCUUGCUGCCUUCUAAUAGAUGCGAGUAAACGUAUAGAGAUUAUUUUAUAGAAAUUCUAGAAUUUUAGUGUUUAUUGCGGUAAUAUUUGUGAUAAAAAUUGAAUUGAAAAUUAUAUUUUAGUAUACCUCUACCUA